rnacentral:rRNA from 1 species
UACGUAGGGUGCAAGCGUUAAUCGGAAUUACUGGGCGUAAAGCGUGCGCAGGCGGUGAUGUAAGACAGGUGUGAAAUCCCCGGGCUUAACCUGGGAACUGCAUUUGUGACUGCAUCGCUGGAGUGCGGCAGAGGGGGAUGGAAUUCCGCGUGUAGCAGUGAAAUGCGUAGAUAUGCGGAGGAAUACCAAUGGCGAAGGCAGCCCCCUGGGUCAAUACUGACGCUCAUGCACGAAAGCGUGGGGAGCAAACAGG